rnacentral:rRNA from 1 species
CGGUGGCGAAGGGCGGCCCCCCCGGACAAAGACUGACGCUCUUGGUUCGAAAGCGUGGGGGAGCAAACACGGAUUAGAUACCCUGGUAGUGCACGCCGUGAACGAAGUCGACUUCGGAGGGUGUGGCCCCUGCGGCGUGGCUUCCGGAGCUAACGCGAUAAAUCGACCCCAUGGCGAGUACAGCCGCAAGGCUAGGACUCAACUGAAUUGAAGGGGGGCCGCACCGCACAAGCGGCGGAGCAUGUAGUUUAAUUCGACGCAACGCGAAGAACCUUAUCUGGUCUUGACCUCCACAGAACUUAGCAGAGAUGGUUUGGUGCCUUCGGGAACUGUGAGACAGGUGCUGCAUGGCUGUCGUCAGCUCGUGUUGUGAAAUGUUGGGUUAAGUCCCGCAACGAGCGCAACCCUUAUCCUUUGUUGCCAGCGGUUAGGCCGGGAACUCAAAGGAGACUGCCAGUGAUAAACUGGAGGAAGGUGGGGAUGACGUCAAGUCAUCAUGGCCCUUACGACCAGGGCUACACACGUGCUACAAUGGCAUAUACAAAGAGAAGCGACCUCGCGAGAGCAAGCGGACCUCAUAAAGUAUGUCGUAGUCCGGAUUGGAGUCUGCAACUCGACUCCAUGAAGUCGGAAUCGCUAGUAAUCGUAGAUCAGAAUGCUACGGUGAAUACGUUCCCGGGCCUUGUACACACCGCCCGUCACUCCUAACAAGGUAGCUGUAGAGUAUUGAUACCUGGCUCAAGUAAGUCGUAACAAGGUAGCCCGUAGAGUGUCCUUCCCCC